rnacentral:piRNA from 1 species
CAAGAUGGGAGAGGAUUGAGAGAC